GGGCCUGCGUUCCAUUAGCUANCNUUGUAGGGUAAUGGCCUACCAAGGCAACGAUGAGUAGCUGGUCUGAGAGGAUGAUCAGCCACACUGGAACUGAAACACGGUCCAGACUCCUACGGGAGGCAGCAGUGGGGAAUAUUGCGCAAUGGGCGAAAGCCUGACGCAGCAACGCCGUGUGAGGGAUGAAGGCUUUCGGGUCGUAAACCUCUGUCGGAAGGGAAGAACGGGCAUUGGUCUAAUAGGCCUUUGUUUUGACGGUACCUUUAGAGGAAGCACCGGCUAACUCCGUGCCAGCAGCCGCGGUAAUACGGAGGGUGCAAGCGUUAUUCGGAAUUACUGGGCGUAAAGCGCACGUAGGCCGCUUUGUAAGUCAGGGGUGAAAUCCCACGGCUCAACCGUGGAACUGCCCUUGAAACUGCAGAGCUUGAAUCCUGGAGAGGGUGGCGGAAUUCCUGGUGUAGGAGUGAAAUCCGUAGAUAUCAGGAGGAACACCGGUGGCG
rnacentral:rRNA from 1 species